rnacentral:rRNA from 1 species
UGCGUAGGCGGAUCAAUAAGUCAGUGGUGAAAACCUGCAGCUUAACUGUAGAACUGCCAUUGAUACUGUUAGUCUUGAGUACGGUCAAGGUAGGCGGAAUGUGUAAUGUAGCGGUGAAAUGCUUAGAUAUUACACAGAACACCGAUUGCGAAGGCAGCUUACUGGGCCAUUACUGACGCUGAGGCACGAAAGCGUGGGUAGCGAACAGGAUUAGAUACCCUGGUAGUC